UGGGAUCAGGCCUGCAUUCUGUGCCCCAAACCCUCAUUGAACCCUCACCCUUUAUUCUCCCCUCCCCAGGGCUCUGCUCCCCUUUCCCUGUCGGACCGCAUCCUGGAAAGGAUCCCACGGCAGGAAAGCUGUGAGCCAACAGCGAUUAAACUCCCCUGGUGCAGGGGCUUCCAUCCAUUGGCUGGUUGAACCGUCACCGUCCUGCGCAGCUGAGGGGAGGCGAGCUCAGGGCAGCAAGGCACCUCGCUGCAGGCCACACAGCAGACAGGGGAGGAACCGAGACCAGAACUGGGCCCACCCGGCUCCUUCAGGCACCACCAGUCAAGGUGCUGCCUAGCCCAGCUGUUGACUCAACCGACAUCUGGAACACCACAGCCCAUCUGGAUCCAGGAAGGGAGCAGCCCACACGCUCCCACGUUACUGAGGGACUGAAACACCCCAAGGCACCUGUCCGAGGCUUGCGUGACGAGGGUGGCUGUCCUCUGGAGGAGGAAGCUGCCAGUUUCGAUCUGCACUGAUAAGAGGUACGCAGACCUGAUCAGUCCCUGGGAAAGUGGCGACUUCCAGCCCACCUGCUUUCAAACCACACAGCCCAGUCUUGGAAGGCCACUGACUUUAUUGAUUUAAAAAACUUUAUAUGGACAGUGACUGUUUUGCCAAAAGAGAAGCCAAACGUCAUUAAACAGACCAGGGGGAGGGUAGGGGCCAGAAAUCCACUCAGCAAAGCUGAUUAUUGACCUGAAACUGGCAGGGGAAAGAGGAGGGAGAUGCAUGCAAGAGUGAGGAUUCCAAAAAAGUUGAAAUGGUGAGGGGAGAGAACUCCCCCGAGACCCGGACAUCGGUGGUGAGCAGACAGCAAUCGCUUCCUUGGUAGAGGACAAGGGAGUAGCC